CAGAAUUUCUCAGAGUUAGUGGUGCUUCAAAUCGGUGUGGUCCCUCAAAUGGCAGGAUGUGGUUUUGUCUGUAGUGAAUCCGUGGUAACCACCUAUUUUUUACUUUUCACUGCAGUAAUUGUCUAUUUUACUUAGCAUUUGCCAUUUGUUUUUUUUAAGCUCGUGUUCUGAUUUUGUAAUAGAUUUAUGUUGUGAUAGAUGCAUGUUUACAAGGUUUGGAAGAUUGACGAGUAUGUUUCAUCGUGACAGGUAUUUUCUUGUAUUGAUUUUUAUGAAUCCUUAAACUUUGCCAAUUCUAUGCCUGAUUUGGAAGAUUGACGAGUAUGUUUCAUCGUGACAGGUAUUUUCUUGUAUUGAUUUUUAUGAAUCCUUAAACUUUGCCAAUUCUAUGCCUGACUUCAAUGUGCCAUGGCUUUGCAGGUUUUGUCAUGCCAUCCUCUUUGAUAAAUGAUGCUUAAUGGUUGGAUGUUACUACUGCCUUGUGAUGCAUUACAGGUUUUGUUUUUGAGACGAACUAGCUUAUGGUGACAUGACUAGUUAUGGACCAAGGUCUUUUCUUCAUGUGUCAUGAUGUUGUAACACGUCGGUACCUGUUUUAAACCUUGCGUAAUUAGUGCUUCUGCAGGUUGUGCUCUACUGAUAUAAUGAUGACAUUUGGUUACGCGACCGUUUGAGUUCGAUCUGGUAUGCGACUUAACGCAGGUUUUGCUGUGACCACUGAUGUGUUGCAGGAUGCUGAUUAACUCAUUCCUGUUGGUAAGCCUAUCAUUACCAUAGAGUUAAACCAUCUCUUUCAUUGUGUGGUAUGAUAACAUUACCGAUGUAUUCAGUCUGUGUUAGUAACCUACUGCAGGUCUGUGAACCUCGAAGUUUUUUCUCAGUUUUAUGUAUUCUAAAAUUUGGAUGCUGCAUUUUGCAGGUUGCAGUUUUUGACUGCUUGCGCAGAAAAUGUAUCUGUCCAAAAGUAGACUGUCACGCUGGAUUGUAAUCAUUGCAGGAUGCGUCACAUUUGGUAGGUUGCAGUUUCAUGUUAUUUUGGCUUGACUGAUUAUUGCAUGUUUUGGAUCGAUACACAUUGCUUGCCAAUUUCAGGUUGGUAAUUCGGAUGGAAGCAAGGCAGUGCAUACUGAUUGACUGAUCAAGGUGAACUGUUACCUUUGUGUUGCAGGUCAUGGCGUGCUUGCUAAAGGGUAGCAUGCGGCUAUUAUGCUGUUAGCUUUGGUUCUGCAGCCAAGAUUUCUUGCUGUUUAAAGGGAUAGUUUGAUGACCGUUGAUGUUAGCUAGUGAUGUGGUUCUGCAACAGCUUUGGUUGGCAGCGGUAUUGAUGACACAGGUGGUGCAAGUGAGAAAACUUGACAAG
rnacentral:lncRNA from 1 species